rnacentral:lncRNA from 1 species
UUAUAUGUAUGUAUUUUAAUAUAUGCAUACACAUAUUUUCAAAAUUUACUUAUAUAUUCACUUAUAUAUCAUCCUUAUAUAUAUAUUUUGUAAAUACAUAUACAUGUAUAAUUUAAAUUAAAGUAUUUGUUUCAUAUUGUACAUUAAUUUUUUAACAAAAUAUAUAUCUUGGUUUCAUCAAAACAUUAAAACCAUUUUCUUUUGAUUGGCUUUUAAAAUAAUGCAAUAUUCGAUAUUCGGGAUUUUCGAGGAAAUUGAGCCCUAACGUAUUGGUUUCCGAUUUUCUUUAUUAAUUCUAAAUAACCGAGAAUAUUCCUUAUUCAAAAUGCAUAAGCAUAAAAAUCAUUUUCAGGAAUUGAACUUGUUGUGUCCUAAUGUAUUGAGCAUGACAUAUUGCUUUUUCGAAAUGAAGAUUUACUUAUAAAAUAAAAGCGGUAUUCAAAGUUUGGGGAUUUUGAGAAAUUGUACGCUAACGUAUUGGGUCUCAAUUUCUUCGUCUGACUUAAACAAUUGAUUAUCCUUUUCAGAUUUCAUCAUUUGAGUUUUAAAAAAAAAUCUUUUUAACCCUCGACACUAAGACAUUAAAUAAUCAAUUUGGUACCGAUUUUGGGGCGUUACGAGGGUGCUAACCCUUCCUCGUACGUAAUUGAUUUCCGAACUCAUUUUUCAAAUCUCGUAGACCGAAAUCAUUUUUAAGGUGAGCCGAUGGCACCACAAUAAAGGAUCGGUGGCGACUCUAGUUUUUUUUUUGUUUUUAAAGUCGACAACCAAAUUUUUGUUUUCAAAAAAUGGUUUCGGCACAACCAAUGUGUGACAAGUGAUAUCUCCUAUUUUUGUUUUCCCCAAUUUUGUAGUGAUAAGGGUAUUUUGAUAUUUUCAUUGAUGUUGUUAAAUAUAUUUGGCACCUAGAGUUUCAGUCUUGAAUUUUUGGAUGGCAACAAUUGCUACCGAUGAGUUUUUCUUUUUUUCUUUUAGGUUACAAAAGAGAUUGUAAUUUAGGGAUAUAAGCAAAGGACUCACAUAAAUGUUUAUAUUUGAAUCCAAACUAACUGAGGUAAGCUUUCAAUUUUGUUGCUUUCUUUUGAAAUGUUGUUUAUGCUUAAAUCUAAGUGGAUUAUGAUAUUUUUCACAAGGAAGUGAUGCUGUUUUAAUUAAAGUUCAAAUAUAUUUGUUGAAUUUCCAUUUUAGUAUAUAAAUUUUCAAGUUUAUUAUUGUACAUUUUAAACUUGUGCAUUUUUUCUUUGCAAUCAAU